CGCGUAGGCGGCUUUAUAAGUCUGGAGUGAAAGUCCUCUUUCAAGGGAGGAAUUGCUUUGGAAACUAUAGAGCUUGAGUGCAGGAGAGGUUAUCGGAAUUCCCGGUGUAGCGGUGAAAUGCGUAGAUAUCGGGAGGAACAUCGGUGGCGAAGGCGGGUAACUGGACUGCAACUGACGCUGAGGCGCGAAAGUGUGGGGAGCAAACA
rnacentral:rRNA from 1 species